UCCAUCUGAUACCGCCCCCCACACACACACACUCUGCCCUAAAAUGACCCUUGUCUCGGCUGCAAACCGACCACUAACACAAGCCCUACACGGUUCUGAAAUAACGGGUAGCUGAGGCUACGUGUAGUCCCAAGGAUCCAACGAAAAAAGCUGAGGAGGAUAAUAUUGGGAAGAGGAGAAUAGCCAGCAAUGGAGAAGAGGCAGGCAGGUAAGGAAGAGAAUUAAGGGGGCAUUCCCGCGGUGGCUCAUUGAGUUGAGAAACCCACACAGUGUCCUUGAGGAUGUGGGUUCGAUCCCUGGCCUCUCUCAGUGGGCUAAGGAUCUGGCCUUGCCCCAGGCUGCAGGAAAGGUUGCAGAUGCAGGCCAGGCCUGGUGUUGCUGUGGCUGUGGAGUAGGCCAGCAGCUGCAGCUCCAAUUCGACCCCUAGCCUCGGAACUUCCAUAUGCCUCAGGUGCGGCCAUCAAAAGCAAGAACACAGAAGAAAAUUUGUGGAGGAAAACUUACCUAGUUGCCAAAUUUUAGAAUGAAAUGUCAACAAACCUAGUAAACACUCGACCUAAUUUGGAUGCUCUAUUUAAAAACUCUUCCCAAAAGCAUAGCAACAACAACAAAAAAACAAACAAAAAACUUAGAUAUGAGACUUAAAACCAGGAGGACUGAUGAAGGAGAUGUAACAUCAACAAAUAAGUUUCAGAUAGGGGAUGGGGAGAAACAAGUGGCAGAACUUUGCAGAGAAAAUUCCCCGUGAUGAACAACGAUCCGAGAACACAGUUGCUACCAAGGAAACUGACGGAAGAAGUGAAGGGCAAGACGAUGCCAUGGAGGUUUUGAAGGGAACAGCCGUUUGCCCAGCAAGAUGGCAUAAGCGUGGCCACUGAACAGUCAGUGGGGAACAAGAGUUGAAAACACUGCUUAGCAGGAAGGAGGGACAUGGACUCUUACAAAAGAAGCGGCACAAAGUCUUGUACACAUGCAAUGACAUGAUCCAUUCAAGGAACUGUGUAUGCAUUUGGUGCUGUCCCAGAAGGUCCCCGGAGUGUUCUGUGUCUACCUUUGCCUUCGGUAAAUACCAGCACACCGAAGGCUGUUUAUACGAAGGAAGAGUAUCGGGUCACCUUUGUUCCACACCACCAAGUGGAGGGAGAGCCUCCCGGACGACCUCUGGGGGGGGGCCCGGGCAGGCUGAGUGAGGCUCAGCCUUCCGCCACCCGUGUGUGCACGACAGCACUUUUCCACAUACGUUUCAAAGACAGACAGAGAGGAUGUGUGUAUCAGCAAGACGUU
rnacentral:lncRNA from 1 species